rnacentral:rRNA from 1 species
UACGUAGGGUGCGAGCGUUGUCCGGAAUUAUUGGGCGUAAAGGGCUCGUAGGCGGUCUGUUGCGUCAGGAGUGAAAACUCGGGGCUUAACCCCGAGCCUGCAGUCGAUACGGGCAGACUAGAGUGCUGUAGGGGAGACUGGAAUUCCUGGUGUAGCGGUGAAAUGCGCAGAUAUCAGGAGGAACACCGGUGGCGAAGGCGGGUCUCUGGGCAGUAACUGACGCUGAGGAGCGAAAGCGUGGGGAGCGAACAGG